rnacentral:ncRNA from 1 species
UUCCCGCGGAGGUUUAAUUUUACCUUUCUUUGUCGCGUGGUUAAUGUUCUGUGUUUGUACAUUUAUUUCGUCCUCCGUAGUGUUUUUUAAAUAAGUAGAACUGGCGCUGUGGGAUGAACCAAACGCAGAGUUAAGGCGCCCAACUCGACGCUCAUGGGACACCAUGAAAGGCGUUGGUUGCUUAAGACAGCAGGACGGUGGCCAUGGAAGUCGGAAUCCGCUAAGGAGUGUGUAACAACUCACCUGCCGAAGCAACUAGCCCUGAAAAUGGAUGGCGCUGAAGCGUCGAGCCUAUACUCUGCCGUCAGCGGCAAGUGGGGCGGCCGUGUGCGCGUCGUCAGACGCGUGCGCGCCGCCACGAAGCCCUGACGAGUAGGAGGGUCGCGGCGGUGUGCGCAGAAGGGUCUGGGCGCGAGCCUGCCUGGAGCCGCCGUCGGUG